rnacentral:rRNA from 1 species
AUACGUAGGGGGCGAGCGUUGUCCGGAAUGAUUGGGCGUAAAGGGCGCGUAGGCGGCGCGGUAAGUCUGGAGUGAAAGUCCUGCUUUCAAGAUGGGAAUUGCUUUGGAUACUGUCGGGCUUGAGUGCAGGAGAGGUAAGUGGAAUUCCCAGUGUAGCGGUGAAAUGCGUAGAGAUUGGGAGGAACACCAGUGGCGAAGGCGACUUACUGGACUGUAACUGACGCUGAGGCGCGAAAGUGUGGGGAGCAAACAGGAUUAGAUACCCUGGUAGUCCACACUGUAAACGAUGAAUGCUAGGUGUAGGGGGUAUCGACCCCUUCUGUGCCGCAGUCAACACAAUAAGCAUUCCGCCUGGGGAGUACGGCCGCAAGGUUGAAACUCAAAUGAAUUGACGGG